ensembl:antisense 9530036M11Rik RIKEN cDNA 9530036M11 gene
AGUCUACUGUCCAACUCAUUUCGACUUAUUUGGACUUGGAAAGAAACACUUCUCAGUCUGCAAUGAGCCAUUCCAGACACUUGUCAAGUUGGACCAACUACAAGAAGGCUUUCCUCGAUUCAUUGCAACUUCCCAGAAAUACAGCCCUGGUCACACUCUCAAAAGAAAAUGCUUUUGCAGGGUCUCUAUGUGAGUGAUUUCUGGCCACUCAGACUUCACACAGAGAGAAAAAGACCCUCAACACACUCCCCCACCCCCACCUCCACCCUCAAGAGCAAGAACUUGCAGAGCAAUGAGCCUUGCCUAAAAAAGGAAGUAGUUGCUGAAGUUGGACGGAGAACGGUCAUGCAGAAAAUAUGGCUCAAACUGUUGCACUCUGAAGAGGACAGGGAGAGUCCUCUUCAUGAAGCCAUACAGACACAAGGCUUGUUUUAAAGAUUCACAGCGUGAAGCAAAACCUCAGCUAUAAUCCCAAUACUUUCAGGAGGACAAAACUGUGACUUUGAGACCGGCCCAAACUACAAUAAUUAUGAGGCUAGCCAAGGGCUAUGUGGCAAGCUCUCAUCCAAAACAAAAACAAACAACUCAAAUAAAACUGAUUCACCGGUUGCAACAUUAGAAUUCCAAACACUUCAGCGGCACCAUAGGCCCUAAUGGGCUCUGAGCCUACAGGGUACCAUUCACUUUUCUGCUCCAACCCUCUGCAGAUGCUGUGCCUGACAAUGAUGCGAUGCUAUCCAAGGCUGUUUCCUCAGAAGACACUGAUUUUUUAAAACCUCCCCAUUCUGUGCAUUCUCUAGGAGUUAAAGGAAACAAGAAAAUGAAAAUCAAUCAGGCUACAGGAUGUAUCAAAAAUGCCUUUUCUCACAUCUUCCUUGCAAACAGGACUCCAGGAUAGAAAAUUCAUUCCCAUCAGAAUGAGACAGGUAACAUGUGUUUCUCAACUUGGUGGAACAACAGACAGCAUCCUGGAGAGCUGCAGUAUUUCAAUCCAGUCACUAAACCACACAUUGGACUUCCUUCGCCUCUGCCUCUCUCUGAUAGCUAUUAGCUAAAGGAUCACAUAAAAAGCAGAAGAGGCCUUGGACAGUUUGCUGUGGUUGGGACCAGAUAUCAGAAGUCUCCAUUCUGUUAGCAUCCUUGAUAGGAUGCUGAGGGACCUUCAGAGAAGGAUAAAGUCCCUGCCUUGUUUCUAGGCUUCCCUGCCUAGAACAACAUUUGGAAAGCAACAAUGACCAAAAAGGAAACAGAACCCAAGGCAAGAAGAACUGGAUGGAUAAGGACACCCAAAUGGUCCAAAUGAGUUUGAAACUCAAAUACCAGACAAGUUGUACCCAGUUCAGAGGACCCUUCCUUGCAGAGCCUUUGAAGAAAGUCUGAUCCAUAAGAGUUGGGCUAGAAGAAAGGCAUGUUUUGAAGCCGGGUUGGGGUGAGUGGAGUAGAGGAUCUCUCUAACAGCUACAAGCUGAUUCCAGAGAUAAUAAAUGAGACAGAUUAUAAGGGAAUGAGCCUGGUGAUGCCUGGGUGCCAGCCUCGCCUCCAUAAAAAGGAAAAAGCCAGAUAAAUACCAGUCACUUCUUUCCAGGUAAAAACUACACAGAGGGGGCAUAGUAAAAGUGGAGCAGACAAGAGGGACCUCAGCAAAGAAUUCUGGACAUGAUUAUUAUGACCAUAAGGCAAAAACCAGUACUAGAUCAACUGGCUGACUGGCAGUCAUGUAUUAGUUAGAGGAAAAAAAAUUAUUUCUUGGUCUUACCUCAGUAAUCUUUGACCAACAACAAAAGUAUUCUUAUCAAAACUGUCCCUGGAGACUGGAGAGAUGUUUCAGUGGUAAAGAACAGUGGUUGCUUUUCCAGAGACCCUGGGUUCCAUUCCCAGCAUCCACAUGGCAACUCAACACUCCAGUUCCAGAGGAUUGGACACCCUCAUAAAGACAUAUAUGCAGGCAAAACACCAGUGCACAUAAAAUGAAAAAUAAGGAUAAAUAAAUCAUCUUU